AUUCCAGCUCCAAUAGUGUAUAUUAAAGUUGUUGCGGUUAAAAAGCUCGUAGUUGGAUUUCUGCCAAGGCUGAACGGUCCGCCCUUUGGGUGAGUAUCUGUCUUAGCUGGAGCAUUUUCUUGGAGGGCAUGGCCGCACUUAACUGUGUGGUAUGCAACCCAAGACUUUUACUUUGAGGAAAUUAGAGUGUCUCAAGCAGGCUCGCGCCUUGAAUACAUUAGCAUGGAAUAAUAAGAUAAGGCCUUGGUUGUAUUUUGUUGGUUUCUUCAGCUGAGGUAAUGAUGAACAGGGAUACUUGGGGGCAUACGAAUUUAACUGUCAGAGGUGAAAUUCUUGGAUUUGUUAAAGACGGACUACUGUGAAAGCAUUUGCCAAGAAUGUUUUCAUCG
rnacentral:rRNA from 1 species